CACCUCCAGCAUUCCCAGUAUUGGAGGCACUGCCUGCCCGGUGACAUUAGUUAAACGGCCGCGGUAUUCUGACCGUGCAAAGGUAGCAUAAUCAUUUGUUCUCUAAAUAAGGACUUGUAUGAAAGGCCACACGAGGGUUUAACUGUCUCUUACUUCCAAUCAGUGAAAUUGACCUUCCCGUGAAGAGGCGGGAAUAAAACAAUAAGACGAGAAGACCCUAUGGAGCUUUAAUUAACUAGCUCAAAAGAAUCCAUCUACCAGACCAACAGGAACAACAUACUCCUUCCAUGAGCUAACAAUUUAGGUUGGGGCGACCUCGGAGCAUAAAACAACCUCCGAGUGAUAUUAAUCUAGACGUACCAGUCAAAAUGCUCACUUACUUAUUGAUCCAAAAACCUCUUUGAUCAACGGAACAAGUUACCCUAGGGAUAACAGCGCAAUCCUAUUUAAGAGUCCAUAUCGACAAUAGGGUUUACGACCUCGAUGUUGGAUCAGGACAUCCUAAUGGUGCAGCAGCUAUUAAGGGUUCGUUUGUUCAACGAUUAAAGUCCU
rnacentral:rRNA from 1 species